CUGAUUUCAAGGACACGCGGCUUUUGCGUGAGGUCUACUUCCCCCACGGAGGCCAGGCGGAGGCAGCGCCGUCACGGGUUUCUAUGAAUGGAAACGCCAUGGGAGCAGGUCUUCAGACUUUCUCCAGGCUGGCCACCUCACCACUGUCUACAGUGGCUCACCAGCUGACACUCACCAGCAAGCAGCACAGCAGACUUUUGCCAAUCUCACUCCCAAGUCAAACCAGUUUUUCUUCAGACAAGCACCUUCCCAGCACAGGACCGGAAAGCUGUUUGCAGUUCCGGUUUCUUUAGCUGUGCAGAGGAGACAUGAUCUGGGAACACAGGCUGUCCGCAGAAUUGGAGAUCUCGACCAGCUAUACUUCAGACUGGGCUACUAUCCAGAAUUUACAAAGAACUUCAGAAAUUAAAUACAGAGGGCAACAGUGAUCUGCUGCCAAUCAAAUGGUCAGAUGCAACGCCAGUGAAGCACAUAAACAAAAUUGGUGCCGCAGACUCGAGAGAUUCACCCGCCAAGGGCCAGGGUCCCAGCUUCACCUUUCGUCUGGGACUCUGAGCACCAACUUCCGGGACUGAAUCGGGACCGAGGACUUCUCAACACCGACCCACGUGCUCCAACUGCCUGGACACAUUCCUACAAACAACACCAGCUUCUAAUUGUACAAGGGACACCAGACAUUUCCAUGCCACAGACACCUGUCAGGAGCAGAGACCAACUACAACUAUGCCAGAAUGUGAACAGCACCCAGCCUUUUCUCGGAUGUCCCCCACCCCCCAAAGACAACGCCCACAAAUCAGCCAGAAGCAGUCUUGAGAAUUCGCCGCCCCAAUUCCUUCAAACUGUAAUGUCUAACCUUCUACUUUUUAUUAUAAAAAGGAUCCGGGAAUGUUAUUCCUUUGCGGUGCCUUUAAGGACUAACCACACCCACUCCCAGCCACUUCUGACCUCCCUCACUGCCAUCUUAACUCUCUCUCUUCUGUUUUCCAUCUCUUGGCAUGUGCACAUGUGUUUUCCUCUCUCUGUUCUCUUUUCUAUUUCUGCCUUUCUUUCUCUCCUUUUUCUCUAAGUAAUAAAUGUUUAUCCU